GAAAUGCGAUACGUAAUGUGAAUUGCAAAUUCAGUGAAUCAUCGAGUCUUUGAACGCACAUUGCGCCCCCUGGUAUUCCGGGGGGCAUGCCUGUCCGAGCGUCAUUGCUGCCCUUCACCCACGGAUGGACCUGUCCGGCCGCUUGAACCCCCAACAUCCAAUGGUUGACCUCGGAUCAGGUAGGGAUACCCGCUGAACUUAA
rnacentral:misc_RNA from 1 species